rnacentral:hammerhead_ribozyme from 1 species
AGUUAGCUGACGGGUCCCAAACAGGACGAAAUGCACAUCAAGCUGGAU